rnacentral:rRNA from 1 species
UACGGAGGAUGCGAGCGUUGUCCGGAUUUACUGGGCGUGAAGGGGGCGCAGGCGGCGCGCCAAGCCCGAUGUGAAAGCCCGGGGCUCAACCCCGGGACUGCAUUGGGAACUGGCGUGCUGGAGUGCCGGAGGGGCAGGCGGAAUUCCUGGUGUAGCGGUGAAAUGCGUAGAUAUCAGGAGGAACACCGGUGGCGAAGGCGGCCUGCUGGACGGAUACUGACGCUGAGGCCCGAAAGCGUGGGGAGCGAACAGG